AUUCGAACGGCAGGCGGGAAGUGCUCUAGCAGGGGAGUCUGACCUUGUGAGGGAAUACCUGUGUCCCCCCUUUUUUCCCCUUUUUACCCAAUAAAACCCUGCCUUACUCACCCUUUAAAUCAUCUGCGAGCCUGAAUUUUCAUGGCCGUGGGACGGACAAGAACUUUAUCUUCAGCUGAACUAAGAAAAAGUCCUGCAACAUUUUUGGCGCGCAAUGUGGGGGCACCAGAAGCGGGCACCGUUGAGCUGUUGCAACUGUUCUGCUGGAGCCUUAUGUAUGUGGUUGAAACCACCUGUACUACUGGAAUGAAAGCACCUUUACAGAAGAGGCAAUGCAAGUUGUAUUCAUCACAUGUGUAGAAUGAAUUAAGAUUUAUGCCAGUUGCAAAGAAGAAUAUUGGCUCACUAUUUUUCCUCUGGGCAUCAAUCAGCAUGUUUCCCUGCAGCUCAGCAGAAGUGCAAACCUGCUGCCUCCUGACUUUUGAACUGGAAACCAGGCUUUCAUGAAGGUCCUAGGGUGAGCUAUGCACUCAGCAGGUCCCUGGGAAGAUUACAGAGCCCGGCAAUGACACCAAUGAUAGGGCUGAAGAUGUUAGCAAGCAGCAGAGACUUCUUGGCCCAGGGAGUCAAUACAACACAUUUGAAGUUUUCAGCCUAUGCACACAUUGGUAUUGCAUUAAUAAGAGAACAUUGU
rnacentral:lncRNA from 1 species